UCUUCUUUUCAGAUCCUCAGAGUUCUUUGCCAUAAAGAACCAUUAAAUUUGAACUUCCAGUGACCAGUAUGAGAGAGUGUGAGAGCAAUAAUACCAAAUGUAACACACCUGCUCUCCAUUCACACCUGAGACCUUGUAACACUAACGAGUCACAUGACACCGGGGAGGGAAAAUGGCUAAUUGGGCACAGUUUGGCCAUUUUCACUUAGGGGUGUACUCACUUUUGUUGCCAGCGG